GCACCACAAGGGGUGAAGCCUGCGGUUCAAUUGGACUCAACGCCGGGAAACUUACCAGGGGAGACAGUAGAAUGACGGUCAGGUUGACGACCUUACCUAACGAGCUGAGAGGAGGUGCAUGGCCGUCGCCAGUUCGUGCUGUGAGGUAUCCUGUUAAGUCAGGCAACGAACGAGAUCCGCGCCUUUAUUUGCCAACAAGAAGUCACGACUUCGUUGGGAACACUAAAGGGACCGCCUUCGAUAAGACGGAGGAAGGAGCGGGCAAAGGCAGGUCAGUAUGCCCCGAAACCCCUGGGCUACACGCGGGCUGCAAUGAUAUGAACAAUGGGCAAUAACUCCGAAAGGAGAAACCAAUCCCGAAAUCAUAUCUCAGUGGGGAUUGUCGGGGGGUAACCCGCUGACAUGAACGUGGAAUCCCUAGUAAUCGUGUGUCAUCAUCGCACGGUGAAUACGUCUCUGCUCCUUGCACACACCGCCCGUCGCUCCAUCCGAGUAUGCUAAAAAUGAGGUCUGGUCAGAAUGGUCAUAUCGAGUUUCUAGUAUGCGAGGAGGGAG
rnacentral:rRNA from 1 species